ACUGAGAGAAACAUUAACAAAACACCUGUUAAUCUGAGACAGUGUUCUAUGAAACAUCAGUUUCAACUUUACAUCGUCUGUGCAACAAAUUCGACAUCAAAGAGAAAAUAGGUGUCAGUGACCUAGAUGACUCUUCCUAAAAUGACUCAUUUGGAAAAGAUUUGACAAUCAAAAGGAUUUGUCUUUCUUUUGAAGCAACAUCCAGUUAGCUUAGCUUCGCGCAAACACUGUACACAUGAAGAACAGCUAGCCUGGUUCAGCACAGUGCUAACGAACUCUUCUCAGAGCACCUCUAAAGCUCACAAACCAACACACUACUGUUUAUCUGAUGAUAUUUGUACUAAUUCAGGCUGUUGUAAACAAAGCUAACAGGCUCAUUUCAAAUUGGUCAUAAUAAUGACAUUGAUACCACAUGAUGACAAAUAAUUUGUCAAAUAACCUCUAAAUGGUGUCUCUAAUCUCAUUGGUUCCACAAGCUUAAAGACAUUUUGACCUCAUUUUCUGACUUUUGCAUGACAGGUGAAUUGGUGAGAUAUUGUGAAAAUAGGAUUUGUCUACAGUUAACAUUUGAGGGGCAUGACUCUGACUAGAGAGUCCCAGGCCUUUAACUCACAUGCAUGACACCAAUGACUAUGUCCCUUAAAUCAUAAAUCUCCUUAUUACAUGACUAUUCUAACGUGACUAACUGUCCAAAAACAAGGAUUGAAUACAAUACCAGAACAUCUAUUAAACAACCCAACUUGAAUACAAUCGUGGUUUUGUUGCUCAGUCUGUGGUAACAUACACGCUGGCGUGCUGUUGGAGCUCAUUUGUUCACCUCAAGUGGAGAAUUGUCACCGUUUCCAUGGAAAUGGCAGGAAGUCAGUAGCAAUCACAGGAAGUUGAAACCCCUCUGUCGCACGGUUAGCUGAGUGAUGACGACAACCGGUCCUGGUCCUGAGGCUGAGUCCAUGCGCAGGACGCAGGUUUCUGUGGCAGCCGCAACGCCCGAGCAGCUCUACUGCGGAAGCAGGCUGCCGGUUG
rnacentral:lncRNA from 1 species